CUCUGGUUCUUGCUGUCGUCUGUCCUUUGAUUCUGCCUGUUUUGGUCGCGGUUGUUGGUAUGUCGGCUCUACGUAAUGUUGCAUUGGCAGAAACUGCUGAGUGCAUGUUAACCAAUACAGUGAGUCCAGGCAGCUUCGCAUUGGCGAUUGCUGUUGACUGUGUGCUGACGAACACGUCGGCUGUAAGUGAUCCCCGUAUCUUGACCAAAAU
rnacentral:lncRNA from 1 species